AGAAGCCUUGAGCUCGUGAUUGGAGCUUUGUGGAGGGAGGAUCUUCAACCCUAGCUUACUUGGAGCCUUUUUUUGGAGCUCUUGUGAGGUUGGAUUAGAAGGCCUCUAACUCCUUUUUGGAGAUCGUGAGGGGUUUUCUUCGCAUUCGGGUACUAGGAGAGUAGCGGGCACCUUCGUCGGCGCAAACGAAGGGUUUCGAGAAGUCACGGUGGGUUUUACUUCAUGAAACAGAGCCCUCUACACCGGUGGAGGCACGGGAUCGCGGCAAGGG